UCUACAGGAGAAGAAUGUGGUAUCAUAAGCAUCCAUAGUUAGGCAAUCACCACCACAAAUGUUAAUAGGGGUUGUGAAUUCUCCAAACAUCCUAUAAAACAGAGAGGGUGGGGAAAAUGUUUUAUAUAACCCAAUCAAUUACAGUUGAAAAUAUUUAUGAACAGCACAAGGGCUGCCAAAGCAGGUGAAGAGAUGUUCCUGUCAAUUCAAGAGGGUGACUAGAUCAAAAGGAAUUCAGAACCUCAAUACAUUCAAGAGGCACCAUAUAUCGACAGAAGAUUAUUUUUCCCCUCAUUUUUAUAUGGUUCACUAUGUUGGACACCUUAGGAGAUCCAAAGUAAAUAUAAUUUACUCUGUUAUCUUCCAACAUGUCAUAGCAUGAAUAAAUGAAUUUAGGCAUGGCAUUAUUAAAACACAAUCAAGCAUAUGUACAUUUCAUGUGUUUAUAUAAUUGUCUCUGUGAGGAAAAUAGCUGCAUCUAUGGAAUUUGAUUAAGGAAACUACAGAUUUUUAUUUCAGUGAUCCACCAACAUUUGGAAACUUAUUUGAGAGAGAAAGUAGCUGAAACUUAAAAAUCUGAAUAUAGGAGAAAGCAAAAUUAACAGAUUUUCCUAGCUUUGCCAUGAAGAAACAACGACUCCGCAAAAUAAAUUUGAGACACAGUCCACAAUUUUUCUUAGUUGCAGAAAAUUAAAUCUAGUAUUCCCCCAACUUGGUUCCCUCUAGAAAUGUCUUGGUCUAAAGUUCCACUGUCGCCAGACGGCUUGGCCACCGGGGAUGAGAGGAGCCUCAGUCCAACAUGUUUGAGGGGCAGUAAGCAAGACUAAUUCUUCCUUCUCUCUGCUUCUGAGUAUUUUGCUGUCAUAAAUGUUGGGCGUUUGCCACCUGCAGCCUGAAGUAUUCUCAACAAAGAUGCACAUAUUGUGCUGGCGGAGCCUAUGUUUUACUUCUGGGAUAGCCUGCAAUAUAUAGCUCUUGUUGACACAAUAUGGUUUAUGCCAAGAACCCAAAAGUAAAUAUAUUGUACCAAUUGGCUCUGACAAUCUUGCAAUGGCACUGCAUAGCAAAGAAGGUGGUAUAAACACUCCUCUUCAUACCCACCCCCUGAGUCUCUUUACUCCAGAUAGAUACAAGGCCUUUCUUGAGGGCCUGAUCGGCCAAGCUUUGCUUCUAGCAUGCAUUGUCAUCUAACAGCACCCUCAACUGGUGAGUCUGAUUGUCUGCACUAUGGGCACACUUGGCUCCUUUAUUCCCUUGCCUGGAACUCAGCCUAAAAUGAGGAAAAUUAAGACAAAAGUCCUCCUUUCCCUUUAGGCUUUUCCAAGUUGCAACAAGAAUCGGUCCAGGAAUCUGGUUUUUAUUUAAUGCUUUAAGUAAACCCGAUAUACAAGAACCACAUAUAAUAAAUAUAGGGGCACCUCAGCAUAUGCACAUAUACUUUUUUCCUUAUCAGGAGCAACUUGAGAAACUGCAAGUUGCUUCAGUGUGAGAUAAUUGUCCGUCUUCAAGGACAUUGCCCAGGGGAUGCCCGGAUGUUUUACCAUCUUGUGGGAGCUUCUCUCAUGUACCCACAUGAGAAGCUGGAGCUGACAGACAGGAGCCCACCCCGCUACCCGGAUUCGAACCACCGACCUUUUAGUCAGCAGACUUGCCAGCGCAAGGGUUUAACCCAUUGUGCCACCAGGGGCUCCUGCAUAGAUUACAAUGACCAACACACAUUUUGGUUCUUCAAAAUGUUAGCCCUGUUUCUGGGUAUAUUUGACCUGCUGAUUCCAAAUAUUGCACUACUUUCCCCCUAGUUUUUGGGAUACAGAACAUAUGCCAUAUCCAGUCCCACCUGAUCUCCCAUAGAAAACCGUGAUAACCAUAUCUAAAAGCUAGAGCUGAUGUCGUCUAUCCAAUCAUUUU